CCAAUAGCGUAUAUUAAAGUUGUUGCAGUUAAAAAGCUCGUAGUUGAAUUUCGGGAUUGGCGCAUCGGUCGUGCCUCACGGGGUAUGAACUGGUGCAGUCAAUUUCUCACCUUCUGGAGAACCGCGAUGUCCUUAAUUGGAUGCCGCGGGGAACCAGGACCUUUACUUUGAAAAAAUUAGAGUGUUUAAAGCAGGCAUUUUUGCUUGAAUACAUUAGCAUGGAAUAAUAAAAUAGGACGGCAUGGUUCUAUUUUGUUGGUUUCUAGGACCACCGUAAUGAUUAAUAGGUAUAGUUGGGGGCAUUAGUAUUCAAUUGUCAGAGGUGAAAUUCUUGGAUUUAUUGAAGACUAACUACUGCGAAAGCAUUUGCCAAGGAUGUUUUCAUUAAUCAAGAACGAAAGUUAGGGGAUCGAAGACGAUCAGAUACCGUCGUAGUCUUAACCAUAAACUAUGCCGACUAGGAAUCAGACGAUGUUAAUUUUUUAAUGACUCGUUUGGCACCUUACG
rnacentral:rRNA from 1 species